rnacentral:tRNA from 1 species
GCAGUGAAAGCUGAAGAUUAUAGCAUUGGUCUUGUAAGCCGAGGGGUGAAGAUAGUAGUUCUUCUCAUUGCU